CUAACAAAUUAGCCACAAGAUUAGAGAUUAUGGUUUUGGAGUCAUGCAGCUAGGGGGCACAAGAUUCCAAAUAUCCCCAAACUGCUCCUCAGGAUAACAUCAAGUUUGAGGGAAAGGCUACACAUAUUUAUGAGGGGAGCCCCAUAUACGCUUAACGGGUAAGCACAGUUACAUAAAUCCUAUGUUCACUUUGGGGCAGAGUUUUAGAAUAAAAAUGAGGUAAAAGCUGGCCUUCAUGUCAAAAAGUAAACUGUAGGACACAAACGUGGUUUGUGUGCAGCAUCCCUCUAUAAGCCGGCUAAAACUGGCUUGAAUUCUGUAGUUGCUUAUUAGGAACUCUUUGUAAGACUGGUCCUGUGUCCAAUCAGAGUUGCAGUGUAAAUCAAAGCUGAUUGCUCCUUUUUUUUUUGAGACAAAAUUUCACUCUUGUUGCCCAGGCUGGAGUGCAAUGGCACAGUAUCGGCUCACUACAACCUCCGCCUCCUGGGUUCAAGAGAUUCUCUUGCCUCAACCUCCUGAAUAGCUGGAAUUACAGGUGACCACUAUCACGCUCAGCUAAUUUUUUGUAUUUUUAGUACAGACAGGCUUUCACCAUGUUGGUCAGGCUGAUCUCGAACUUCUGACCUCAGGUGAUCCACCUGCCUUGGACUCCCAGAGUGCUGGGAUUACAGGUGUGAGCCACUGCACCCAGCCAGAUGGGAGUUUACUCAGGAAUUUCAAAAUGUGCCAUGCCAGCCAGGCCCUGAACCCUGACCCAUAGGUAACUUUGUUUCCUUAAACUUUGGGUCCAUCUUAAUUGAUAAAAGGGCAUCUAUUUUAUUCUUUCAGGUCACAUAUGGAAUUAUUAAAGAGGGAAGAGGUCAUAGGAACCCCAGAAUUUGUAGUUGGCCAGGCAGAAGUGCAGGUAGUCUAGGAAUCCCAUUUGUGGUGUCUGAAGUGAUGGCAGUCUUGAGGGAUUCAGUGCCAGGUUAGCAUGGGGUCUGUGCUAACCCACUGUAGUUAGUGUCAGAUUUUAAUUCAACUGUAGAACACCUAGUUGGUGUCAGAGAACUGAAGAACUGUUUAUAUGGAAAAACAAGUCCCUCAGCCAGGAAGGGACAGAGUCCGAUUUAAACCCAAGCUUUUUACCAGAAUCUAGCCAAAGAGUAACUAAUAUUGACAGUUGUGAAUGACAAUUCAGUAGUAUCUGGGGCCAGAACAAAAAGGGCAUUUUAAAUGUAGGUUGGUUGGGGGUUUCUUGGGGAACUUUGUCUUUAGUGGAAAGAGAGGGGUUGCAAUGGAUGAGAAGUACAGGUGUGAGGGUUUCUGCUGUCAUGAUUCUUGUUUUGUGUGAAAGAGGUUUGAGCACGUUGAAACAGGCAGAGGCUAGAUGUAGAAAAUGCUUAAUGGGGGUGUCAAAGGAUAUAAUUACAAAAGACAUAGUUUAAAGAUCUCAAUUGGCUCCUCCUCUUCAGUUUGCACCGCGAACUGAAGAGCGAGGCAUGGCGGGCUGGGCUGACACCCCACUGAGGGACCGUAACUCUUUGUCCCAAUGCCUCCAUGAGCAAAGUUGAGUGGGUACCGGUGGUCGGAGCCGUGGAGGUGUCCUUGGUGGUGAGCGCGGCCAGAACUCCGGUCACGUAUAAUUUGGCCUCCUGAGAUUCUACCUUAGCAAGAAAGGAGCGGGAGAUACUCUUGGACAGAAAACUAAAAUAAUAAGAAAGCCAAAACUUAUUUUUACAUGGUUGUCAGCACAUUUACCGACAUGGACACUUUUCCCAAUAAUUUGCCUCCUGGUGGAAACAGUGGAUUGACAGGUUCUCAGUGGGCGUUCCAGAAAAUGUUAAUUGAUGAAAGGUUACGAUGUGGGCAUCAUAAAGCUAAUUAUCAGACUCUGAAAGCCGAACACACAAGGUUGCAGAAUGAAUAUGUAAAGUCACAAAAUGAACUCAAGCACCUGUUAAAUGAAAAGCAAAUUCACCAGGAAAAACUUCAGCUGCUUCAAGAACUAAGAGAAGAAUUAGUAGAGAAAACUAAAGGCUUAGAAGAAAUGAGACUGCAGAUAUUAACUCCACAAAAAUUGGAAUUGCUAAGAGCCCAAAUUCAACAAGAAUUAGAAACUCCAAUGAGAGAACGUUUUCAGACCCCGGAUGAAGAGGUGGAAAAGUAUAGAGCUGUAUAUAAUAAGCUUCACCAUGAACAUACAUUUCUCAAGUCAGAAUUUGAACACCAGAAGGAAGAGUUUGCGCAUAUUUUAGAAUAUGGAAAAAUGAAAUAUCAAUCAGAGACUGCAAGACUGGAGGAAGAUAAAGAACUAUGUAACCAGCUGCUUAAUGUUGAUCUCACAAGAGACAGCAAACGAGUGAGCAACUUACUCGAGAAAAAGUCUAUUUGUAUAAAAAAUUAAAAGGUUUAGAGGCUGAAGUAGCAGAAUUAUGGGCUGAAAAGGAGAAUUCUGGCACUCAGGUAGAAAAUGUCCAAAGAAUACAGGUGCGGCAGUUGGCUGAGGUGCAGGCUACAGUCAGGUCCCCAGAGGCUGAAAAACAGUCAGCUAAGCUAUGGGCAGAACACUUGGAAAAAGAGCUACAAUCAAGCAAUGAAUAAAAUACCUGUUUGAUUAAUAAAUUGCAUAAAGCAGAACAAGAAAUAAAUACAUUGUCCAGUACAGUAAAAGAACUUAAACAUCCAAACAAACUAGAAAUAACAGACAUCAAACUGGAGGCAGCAAGAGCUAAGAGUGAGCUAGAAAAAGAAAGGAGUAAGAUUCAAAGUGAACUGGAUGGACUACGGUCAGACAAUGAAAUUCUCAAAGCAGCUGUUGAACACCACAAAGAUAUUCCUCAAGAAGAGCAACCCCACGAUACAUAAUCGUUAGAUUCACCAGGGUUGAAAUGAAGGAGAAAAUACUAAGGGCUGCCAGAGGUCAGGUUACCCACAAAGGGAAGCCUAUCAGACUCACAGCAGAUCUCUAGGCAGAAACCCUACAAGCCAGAAGAGAGUGGGGGCCAAUAUUCAACAUCCUUAAAGAAAAGAACUUUAAACCCAGAACUUCAUAUCCAGCCAAACUAAGCUUCACAAGUGAAGGAAAAAUAAAAUCUUUUAUGAACAAGCAAGUACUCAGAGAUUUCAUUACCACCAGGCCUGCUUUACAAGAGCUUCUGAAAGAAGCAUUACACAUAGAAAGGAACACCCAGUAUUAGCCUUUCCAAAAAUAUACCAAAAAGUAAAGAGCAUCAACAUAAUGAAUUUACAUCAACUAAUGGGCAAAACAGCCAGCUAACAUCAAAUGGCAGUAAUCCUAAAUUUAAAUAGACUAAAUCCCCCAAUCAAAAGAUACAGCCAAAACCCAUCAGUAUGCUGCAUCCAGACCCAUCUCACAUGCAAGGAUACACAAAGACUCAAAACAAAGGGAUGGAGAAAGAUUUAGCAACCAAAUGGAGAGCAAAAAUAAAUAAAAAGCAGAAGUUGCAAUUCUCAUCUCUGAUAAAAUGGAUUUUAAAGCAACAAAGCAACAAAGAUAAAAGGAUCAAUGCAACAAGAAGAGCUAAUGAUCCUAAAUAUAUAUGCACCCAAUACAGGAGCACCCAGAUACGUAAGACCUAUACAGAGACUUAGACUCCCACACAAUAAUAGUGGGAGACUUCAACAUCAAUAUUAGAUAGAUCAACAAGACAGAAAAUUAAUAAGGAUAUCCAGGACUUGAACUCACAUCCAGAACAAGUAAACUUAAUAAACAUUUAUAGAGCUCUCCACUUUAAAUACACAGAAUGUACACUCUUACCAGUACCACAUACACCUACUCACAGGUUUAAAUGAAAUAUUGGUUGGCCAUUAUUAAGCACAAUUAUUGGCAUAAAAGAGGUUUUCAAUACCCAUUUUUAGAAUAA